GAGAAAAGAUGCUGUAGGUUCUUCUCCAGGAGCCCCACCCCACGGCAGACCCCUGCCUCAGAGAUGAACCAGUGUUGCCGAGGGGAAGGGAAAGGAAAGCCGAG
rnacentral:lncRNA from 11 species